CCCACCUCUCCUUUCCCUCGCCCUCCGCCCCUCAAAGCCCAGAGCUCUCGGCAUCCUCCGUGUCCCAGGACCGGCCCCUCUUUCCCCUCCUAACUUCUCUCUGGCUUGUGGGUUUGGUUUGCAUCGACGUCCGCAGGCUGUCGUGAGGCCAGCAGAAAACACGGGCGAAGUCCAGUCUGUCUUUUGACUCCUGGUCCUCUUAUGCUGGGUGCCACACUCCCUCAUCCCAGAUGGCUGGGGGAUGGGGUUUUCCUCUGCUGACUAGUACCAAGUCUUCUCAUUCUUCAUCUCAACUUCAGUGUCAUCUCUAAAAGGCCCUCUCUGACAAGCACCGAAUCUAACUUCGUAGACAGAGCCUGGCACGUAAUAGGUCCGACGAAACCAUAUUUUAUAUGCUGGACAAAGUCUGAGUGCCGUGUAGCAGGCUACCAGAGCUAUAAUAAUGAACAUUAAUCAGCGCUACUUGGUAUAAUGAGGGGAGAAGACACAGUACUUUAUUUGUUUGGAUUCCAGAUCAUCAGAAGUGAUGUCAGUGGUCAUGUCAGCUCAAUAUGUUAUU